AUGGGCUGCUCCAGCGCCCGCUCACCCGCACUGGCUGCCGGCGAGAAGGAGCGCCAGUGCGUUGCCCUCGCGCGGUUCGAAGCUCGUCGCCGUGGCCGGGACGAGGGAGGCAUCGUCGUCCUCGAGGACAGCGACGACGACGAUGACGACACGCCGCCACCGCCUAUUCGCCAUGGAGACGCCGGGCAGGGGUCCAGCAGGGGCGGCCGCGCCAUCAAGAAGGAGAAGGCCGAUGACGACGGCGAGGACGGCAGCGACGUCGGUGGCUUCGCCGCGCUGAUCGAGUUCUUCGCCCCAUAG
rnacentral:rRNA from 1 species